UACGAAGGGGGCUAGCGUUGCUCGGAAUUACUGGGCGUAAAGGGCGCGUAGGCGGACAGUUAAGUCAGAGGUGAAAGCCCAGGGCUCAACCCUGGAAUUGCCUUUGAUACUGGCUGUCUUGAGUACGGGAGAGGUGAGUGGAACUCCGAGUGUAGAGGUGAAAUUCGUAGAUAUUCGGAAGAACACCAGUGGCGAAGGCGACUCACUGGCCCGUUACUGACGCUGAGGCGCGAAAGCGUGGGGAGCAAACAGGAU
rnacentral:rRNA from 1 species